AGCGAACGCUGGCGGCAUGCUUAACACAUGCAAGUCGCACGCCCAGCAAUGGGAGUGGCGGACGGGUGAGUAACGCGUAGGAAUGUGUCCAGAGGUGGGGGACAACCCCGGGAAACUGGGGCUAAUACCGCAUAUGAGCUGAGGCUCAAAGCAGUAAUGCGCCUUUGGAGCAGCCUGCGUCCGAUUAGGUAGUUGGUGGGGUAAUGGCCUACCAAGCCUGCGAUCGGUAGCUGGUCUGAGGGGACGAUCAGCCACACUGGGACUGAGACACGGGCCAGACUCCUACGGGAGGCAGCAGUGGGGAAUAUUGGACAAUGGGGGCAACCCUGAUCCAGCAAUGCCGCGUGUGUGAAGAAGGUCUUCGGAUCGUAAAGCACUUUCGGCGGGGACGAUGAUGACGGUACCCGCAGAAGAAGCCCCGGCUAACUUCGUGCCAGCCGCCGCCGUAAUAC
rnacentral:rRNA from 1 species